rnacentral:sRNA from 1 species
AGAGCUUCAGAUGGUUAUGCAAAGGCUUAAACGUGCUGAGGCACGGCUCAAGAACCGCGAUAGGGAAGCAGCACAUUCUGCAAAUAGAAGAUCGCCAAUGAUGAGAAU